UUGGAGGGCAAGUCUGGUGCCAGCAGCCGCGGUAAUUCCAGCUCCAAUAGCGUAUAUUAAAGUUGUUGCAGUUAAAAAGCUCGUAGUUGAACCUCGGGAUCGAUGGAUCGGUCAUGCCAUCGGUAUGUACUGGUCCCAUCGGUUCUCACCUUCUAAGGAACCAUGAUGUCAUUCAUUUGAUGUUGUGGGGAAUUAGGACUGUUACCUUAGAAAAAAUUAG
rnacentral:rRNA from 1 species